rnacentral:tRNA from 1 species
UCCCUGGAGGACUAGUGGUUAGGCCACACUGCUCUCACUGCUGCGGCCCGGGUUCGAUUCCCAGCCAGGGAA